rnacentral:rRNA from 1 species
AACGAACGCUGGCGGCAUGCCUAACACAUGCAAGUCGAACGAGACCUUCGGGUCUAGUGGCGCACGGGUGCGUAACGCGUGGGAACCUGCCCUUAGGUUCGGAAUAACUCCCCGAAAGGGGUGCUAAUACCGGAUAAUGUCUUCGGACCAAAGAUUUAUCGCCUUUGGAUGGGCCCGCGUUGGAUUAGCUAGUUGGUAGGGUAAAAGCCUACCAAGGCGACGAUCCAUAGCUGGUCUGAGAGGAUGAUCAGCCACACUGGGACUGAGACACGGCCCAGACUCCUACGGGGGGCAGCAGUGGGGAAUAUUGGACAAGGGGCAAAAGCCUGACCCAGAAAGGCCGGGUGGGGGAUGAAGGCCUUAGGGUUGUAAAGCUCUUUUACCCGGGAUGAUAAUGACAGUACCGGGAGAAAAAGCCCCGGCUAACUCCGU